GAUGAAGAACGUAGCGAAAUGCGAUACGUAAUGUGAAUUGCAGAAUUCAGUGAAUCAUCGAGUCUUUGAACGCACGUUGCGCCCUCUGGUAUUCCGGAGGGCAUGCCUGUCCGAGCGUCAUUGCUGCCCUCAAGCACGGCUUGUGUGUUGGGCUCCGUCCCCCGAUCCCGGGGGACGGGCCCGAAAGGCAGCGGCGGCACCGCGUCCGGUCCUCGAGCGUAUGGGGCUUUGUCACCCGCUCUGUAGGCCCGGCCGGCGCUUGCCGAUCAACCAAAUUUUUAUCCAGGUUGACCUCGGAUCAGGUAGGGAUACCCGCUGAACUUAAGCAUAUCAAUAAGCGGAGGA
rnacentral:misc_RNA from 1 species